AGUGAACGCUGGCGGUGGGCCUAACACAUGCAAGUCGAACGGCAGCACAGUAAGAGCUUGCUCUUACGGGUGGCGAGUGGCGGACGGGUGAGGAAUACAUCGGAAUCUACUUUUUCGUGGGGGAUAACGUAGGGAAACUUACGCUAAUACCGCAUACGACCUACGGGUGAAAGCAGGGGAUCUUCGGACCUUGCGCGAUUGAAUGAGCCGAUGUCGGAUUAGCUAGUUGGCGGGGUAAAGGCCCACCAAGGCGACGAUCCGUAGCUGGUCUGAGAGGAUGAUCAGCCACACUGGAGGUGGGACACGGUCCAGACUCCUACGGGAGGCAGCAGUGGGGAAUAUUGGACAAUGGGCGCAAGCCUGAUCCAGCCAUACCGCGUGGGUGAAGAAGGCCUUCGGGUUGUAAAGCCCUUUUGUUGGGAAAGAAAAGCAGCAGGUUAAUACCCCGCUGUUCUGACGGUACCCAAAGAAUAAGCACCGGCUAACUUCGUG
rnacentral:rRNA from 1 species